rfam:Rattus norvegicus chromosome 1, whole genome shotgun sequence.
GGGGAUUUAGCUCAGUGGUAGAGCGCUUGCCUAGCAAGGGCAAGGCCCUGGGUUCGGUCCCCAGCUCCCCCC